ensembl:snRNA U6 U6 spliceosomal RNA
GCGCUCACUUCAGCAGCAUGUAUACAAAAAUUGAAAUGAGACAGAGAUUAGCUUGCCCCUGCAAAAGAAUAAUACUCAAAUUCACCAAGUAUUCAAUAUUUUU